UAGGGGGACUGCCGGCGUAAGCCGGAGGAAGGAGGGGGCCACGGCAGGUCAGUAUGCCCCGAAACCCCGGGGCUGCACGCGAGCUGCAAUGGCGGGGACAGCGGGAUCCGACCCCGAAAGGGGGAGGUAAUCCCGUAAACCCCGCCCCAGUAGGGAUCGAGGGCUGCAACUCGCCCUCGUGAACGUGGAAUCCCUAGUAACCGCGUGUCACCAACGCGCGGUGAAUACGUCCCUGCCCCUUGCACACACCGCCCGUCGCGCCACCCGAGGGAGCCCCCAACGAGGCUCCUUCAUCCUUGGGUUACCCCAAGGAUGGGGGAGACGAGUUGGGGGCUCCCGAGGGGGGCGAAGUCGUAACAAGGUGGCCGUAGGGGAACCUGCGGCCGGAUCACCUCCU
rnacentral:rRNA from 1 species